AACGCACAUUGCGCCCUCUGGUAUUCCGGGGGGCAUGCCUGUUCGAGCGUCAUUAUAACCAAUCACGUAAGUGGUAUUGGGGCUUGCCGUCGGCAUCCCUUAAAAUCAGUGGCAGUGCUAUAGGCUCUCAGCGCAGUAACUAUUUCGCUCUCGAGUCCUAGAACCACCCGCCAAAACCCCAACUCUUCUUAGGUUGACCUCGGAUCAGGUAGGGAUACCCGCUGAACUUAA
rnacentral:misc_RNA from 2 species